GAACUCGCGCCUUCGGACCGAGCCCCCUCGCCGAAGCGCACACACGCUCCAGCGCGCGCACACACCUCGGACAUUCCCAUAGUGCCUCACGUGACACUCGGCCCGAACGUGCCCACCCUACCCACACGCUCACGCACGCGUGCUCACACGCGCACACACACAACCUCUGGUCGCUUCUGAACUCCGCGCUGACCCGGGUCCUCCGCCCCGCAAAAGCGCUCAUUGACGGCGGCACACCUACACUCAUUCACAGACACACACUCCCCCCCACAUGCCAGCCACAGCCACACAUUCAUAAACAGGGCCGGGAGAAGUACACACGCACCC
rnacentral:lncRNA from 1 species